AUUGAACGCUGGCGGCAGGCUUAACACAUGCAAGUCGAGCGGGGUGAGGUGCUUCGGUACUGAUCCUAGCGGCGGACGGGUGAGUAAUGCUUAGGAAUCUGCCUAUUAGUGGGGGACAACAUUCCGAAAGGAAUGCUAAUACCGCAUACGCCCUACGGGGGAAAGCAGGGGAUCUUCGGACCUUGCGCUAAUAGAUGAGCCUAAGUCGGAUUAGCUAGUUGGUGGGGUAAAGGCCUACCAAGGCGACGAUCUGUAGCGGGUCUGAGAGGAUGCUCCGCCACACUGGGACUGAGACACGGCCCAGACUCCUACGGGGGGCAGCAGUGGGGAAUAUUGGACAAUGGGGGGAACCCUGAUCCAGCCAUGCCGCGUGUGUGAAGAAGGCCUUUUGGUUGUAAAGCACUUUAAGCGAGGAGGAGGCUACCGAGAUUAAUACUCUUGGAUAGUGGACGUUACUCGCAGAAUAAGCACCGGCUAACUCUGUGCCAGCAGCCGCCGUAACAC
rnacentral:rRNA from 1 species